CUACGGAGGGUGCAAGCGUUACUCGGAAUCACUGGGCGUAAAGCGCGCGCAGGCGGCUAUUUAAGUUGGAUGUGAAAGCCUACGGCUCAACCGUAGAACUGCAUCCAAAACUAUUUAGCUAGAGUGUGGGAGAGGAAGAUGGAAUUAGUUGUGUAGGGGUAAAAUCCGUAGAGAUAACUAGGAAUACCAAAAGCGAAGGCGAUCUUCUGGAACACUACUGACGCUGAGGCGCGAAAGCGUGGGGAGCAAACGGGAUUAGAAACCCUUGUAGUCC
rnacentral:rRNA from 1 species